rnacentral:lncRNA from 1 species
CUGAUAAAGAUUACACAGUAUCCAGAGGAGGAAGUGCUUUCUCUAAAAGAGAGGGAGAGAUGAAUAACUAGGGAAGCAAAGAGUUCUGUAAGAAAAAUCAAAGACUGGGUGGGUAGAGUCGGAACUAGAGGAAGAAUUUAGGCAAGAGGAAAACUCAAGGACAAAUAGAGGGUUUAACUGUUCAGGCUUGCAGGCGCCAUCUGAAAUUGCAAAAGAAAGGAAAAAUUGAGCCUGAGAUAUGAUUAGGACAGUCAUAUUGUGUAUGUUGAACAAAAUAUAAUGGAAGGAUGAACAGGAUGGCUUAUUUUUUCAUUCAGUUUCCCUAUCUACAAUUUAGCAUUUAAAUUCUGAAUACAUGUAUGUGACCUCUACAAUAGCUGAGUUGUACACAGCAGGAUGGUUGUGCCAUCUAAAGACAACAAGCCAUCUAAAGAUAAAACUGCAGGCCCCAAAACACAGCAUGCUCAAAUUCUUUUUGUUUCUUCUACUUUUGUUUUAGCUUCUGGAGGUACAUGUGCAGGUUUGUUACAUGGGUAAAUUGUUUGUUGCUGGGGCUUGGUAUGCAAAUGAUCCUGUCACUCAGGUAGUCAGCAUAGUACCUGAGAGGUAGCCUUACCAGCCCACAGCCCCCUCCCAUCCUCCUUUCUCAAGCAGUCCCAAAUGUCUAUUGUUCUCAUCUUUGUGUCCAUGUGUUUUCAAUGUUUAGCUCUCACUUAUCAGUGAGAACAUGUGCCAUUUGGUUUUCUGUUCUUUUGUUCAUUCACUUAGGAUAAUGGCCUCUAGCUCUAUCCAUGUUGCUGCAAAGGACACAGUUUUUUUCUUUUUGUGACUGUCUAGUAUUCCAUGGUGUAUGUGUACCACAUUUUCUUUAUCCAGUCCGCCGUUGAUGGACAUCUUUGUUGAUUCCUUGCCUUUGCUGUUGUGAAUAGUGCUACAAUGAACAUACGAGCAUGUGUCUUUUUGGUAGAAUAAUUUAUUUUCCUUUGGGUAUAUACCCAGUAGUGGAAUUGCUGGCUCUCAUAGUAGUUCUUCUUUAAUUUUUUUUUUUUUUUUUUUUUAAGAACUCUUCACACUGCUUUUCGCAGUUGGUUGAACUAAUUUACAUUCUUAUCAGCAGUGUACAAGUGUUCCGUUUUCUCUGCAACCUCACCAGCAUCUGUUGUUUUUUGACUUUUUAGUAAUACCCAUUGUGACUGUCAUGAGAUGGUCUCUCACUGUGGUUUGGAUUUGAAUUUCUCUAAUGAUUAGUGAUGAUGAACAUUUUUUUUCGUAUAUUUGUUGGCUGCAUGUAUGUCUUCUUUUGAGAAGUGACUGUUCAUGUCAUUUGCCAAUUUUUUAAUGUGGUUAUUUGUUUUUUGUUUGUUUAAUUGUUUGCAUUCCUAUAAAUCAAGAAAGAUCUUCCUAAUUUGAAAGUAAACAGUGAUACUAAAAUUUGUAAGCCUAGUCAAAUGUGGGCUAUUCAACAGGUGUGAUGUCCUUCAUAGGUAUUUCUAAGAAAAAGAAAAGGAAAUGGAUAAAUCUGGGCAUGGGAUUCCUUUUGUGGCAGACAGUGUUUAUUGGCUUGCCCAGUACUUAACCUCAACCUUUUCUUCCCUUUCAACCUCAGUUAUAGAGGUUGAAAAUGUAAGAUACUUGUAUUCCCCAGCCCCCUUUACAACUGAAAAAGGCUUUGUGGCUAAUGACAAGUAAGCAGAUAUCUGCUGGGAUCUUUCCUCGUCCUCUGUUCUAUCUGUUCUAAGGAGGACAUGGGCUCUACAGCUGUGUCAGCUGCUUUGUGACCUCAAGAAAAAGGACAAAUGAAUUAGACAACAGUCAUGACAUCACUGAGCUACUGAACCAAUGUUACCAGCUGCUUCAGAUUUUUACUAUGUAAUAAAAAGAAUUCUCCAUUUGCUUAAACCUUUGCUAAUGAGUUUUACUCUUAUGGAUGAAAACAUCCCAAUAUACCUUCCAGACAAGACAAUUCUAUUCUGCGCUUCCACAUCAUGCCUAGUAGCACUCUGAUUCCAAGCGAGAUAAGACUUAUUUUGCUUCAGGCGUCUUAUCCUGCUUUCCAUGAACAAAUACAGUCUCUUCCCAGGGCAUCUUAGCAAAUGGACACAUGUGCUUGCCAAGGUGACUCUGCCAUCCUGUGUGACGGGAGGAGGAGGGGUAAAGUUUGGUUUCAGAAAUAUAAGUUCUCUGCCCUGAGCAGAGAUAGACAGAGUCAUAGAACUUGGCCUGUUCCUUCCUCUGUAUCUCCCUUCCUCCCCUCCCUUUUCUGUAUGACAAGCAGAAAGACAAAGAGCUCAGUGUUUCUCUCUGCCUAAGGAAGUGUGCUCUGUGUGUGUGUGUGUGUGUCUGUGUGUGUGUGUGUGUCUGUGUGCAUGCACGCGUGUGUUUGGGGGUGGUGGAGGUGGUAAUCUCUAUGCUGUCUCAUCUUCAGUAGAGAUAAGACAGGCAGGGAAGGUGGAAGGGAGUCCAGUAACACAAUCAAAAGGAAGGAAACUCUCACUUAAAGUCAGCAGUUAAAAGCAGACUCCACACUUGCUACAAACAGCAGUAGUGAAGGAAAAGGCUCGGUGUAGAAAUAAAUACAGAGUAGCUUAAAUGCCAUGAGGAGGGGGGCAUAAAAAAAUUCAAGAAAAUGUAUAUAGAGUAAUAAUUUGGGGUGGAAAAACAGGUAAUGGUCACAGAAAAGGGAGAAGAAAGUGUGGAAAGAUUAUUCUGAUGAGCUUACUUUCUCUUCUAGCCCUCAGAUUAUAUUAGCCAUGAAAGUAACAGGUCAUGGAAAUGAAAUGUGUACAUGAUGGGUGCAUUAAUUUGCUUCACUACAGUAACCUGUUUACUGUCUAUAUUUAAUUCAUAACAUCAUGUUGUAUGCCUUAAAUAUACAUAAUAACAUUUAUUUUUAAGAAAAGAAAGUACAGAGAAAAAAAAAGAAUGGAAUACACAUGAAUGCCGAACCACAUUGGAUAUGUAGCUGUUCAUGAAGAUAUUCCAGGGAAGGCCUAUCUAGUAGAGCCUCAAAUCUAUUUGAAUACAAAUGGCACUCAUUAAGGACAUCUGUCUUCUGUAAUGUCUACACAAAGUCUUACCGGGGUCUUCUUGGCUCUUAUUGACGGCUGAUGAAGGAGGGGUUUAUAAAGAAAACAAGCCAAAACCUGAAUAACUUGCUACUGAGAGCAGCACACAUAUUUUCCCAAAGUGCAAAGUUGAGAAGAAGUACAAAGCUUUGUUAAUAUUCUGAACAGUACUGCUUAGUAUGAUCUAAUUGAUGGAUUUUCCAUGGACUCCCUAGAGACUGAAAAAGGUUUGACUGUCAGGAAACUUUUCUUGUGUUUAUUCUUCAAUUUUCCUUUUCCUACUUUCCAAUCAUCAUUCCCUAUUAACAUCCCUUGAUGGGUCACCUUAAGUGAUUAUUCUUUUUAAUGGCAUUUAUAACGUUUAAUAUUUCCCUGUUAAUUUCUAUUCCGACAAAGUACAUAUUUUUUUAAUCUUCACUCAUAACAUUAAUAAAUUUUUCCAACAUUUUAAAGCUCAGUUAACAUUUCCUUAUAUAUGCCUCUGUCUUUAAAAUAUGAGAUCUGAAUGUACUGGUAUCACUAGAAUUAUCUACAGAGUUCUAAUGUGAUGGAAAUUGUGCUACAAAAAUUUGUUCUUACAUAAUUUGCUUCAACGGAAUUCCUCCUGAACUAAAUACUUAGUCUUUACAUUCUUUAAAAUAACUAAAAUUUCCCAGAGGAAAGUCUGAAUUGUUCAUUUAACCUUGUGUGAUGUGUGCUGUGUGUAGCUGAAACAGCAAAGUGGACACACCUGCACCCUUAACAUUUUUGACUUUUUUUUUUUUUUUUUUAAAGAAUCAAGUUUCGUUUUUGUCACCCAAGCUGGAGUGCAGUGGUACAAUCUCCGGUCACUGCAACCUCCGCCUCCCGGGUUCAAGCGACUCUCCUGCCUCAGCCUCCCAAGUGGCUGGGAUUACAUGUGUGCACCACAAAGCCUGGGUAUUUUUUUUUUUUCAUUUUUAGUAGAGACGUGGUUUCACUAUGUUGGGCAGGCUGGUCUUGAACUCCUGAACUCAGGUGAUCCUUCCCCGCUAGGCCUCCCAAAGUGCUGGAAUUUCAGGCCUGAGCCACAGCACCUGGCCAACUGUGACUCAUUUUUAAAGCGGUUUGGCAAUAAUGCUAUAUACGUAUAAUGGUUUUGAAUAAAAUAUACAACUAUACAUGGCCUGUUAUCUUCUUAUUUUAGACAGAAUAAUCUUAGUCUUGUACUUUCAUGUAUUAGGCUGAUAGCCAUGAGAUUUGGGGAGGAAAAAAAUAGGAUAAAAUAGGACUCACUCAUUUCAAGAAAUAGAGUUAGUUUUCUAUGCAAGCAUUUUCUCCCCUUCUCCUUAGCCCACCAAAGUGGUAAAUGAGACUUCCAGCCAUGAGGCUGUUUGCACCUCUGUCUGGGAGGAGACUUCUGGAGCUUUGGUUGCUGCUAAUGACUUGGAGGGGCUUUGAAGGCCCCCUUGAAGAUGUCACGCAUGACCUCUGGACCCUUGGUAUCUUUCAAGAAUCCUUAUGAGAUACUAACUCAUUUCGUUUAUAAUAGGUGAAAACAGAUCAUGUAUUUUUAAACCAGAUAAUGCCUAAGUUAUAUUACUCUAGAAUUCAUAGAAAAAAUAAAAUAGCCGAGAUCUUUAAAAAGACUGUAAUGUGGUAUUAGUGGACUGUCUUUUUUUUUGUUUAUGGAGAGAAAAAAAUUAUUUGUAAGUUUUUUUUUAAUUUAUUAUUGUUAUACUUUAAGUUUUAGGGUACA